GAAGGCUUAGCUUAAUUAAAGUGUCUGAUUUGCAUUCAGUCAAUGCAAGAUGGAAGCUUGCAGUCUUUA
rnacentral:tRNA from 1 species